UACGUAGGUGGCAAGCGUUGUCCGGAUUUACUGGGCGUAAAGAGCGCGCAGGCGGUCGUACAAGUCGCGUGUGAAAGCCCCCGGCUCAACUGGGGAGGGUCACGCGAUACUGUUCGACUCGAAGGCAGGAGGGGGAAGCAGAAUUCCCGGUGUAGUGGUGAAAUGCGUAGAUAUCGGGAGGAACACCAGUGGCGAAGGCGGUUACCUGGAGCUUUGCUGACGCUGAUGCGCGAAAGCGUGGGGAGCGAUCCGG
rnacentral:rRNA from 1 species